ACAAAAAUUCGACCCAUAGAGGGUUAAAAUAUUUGUGCGUGAAUCUAGGACAUCCGUGCGACGAUUAAAUUCUUUAAGAAAAAAGAUUCCACAGCCAUGAUAUGUAUUAUUCAGUGAUUUAAAGAAUAGUAAAGUAUAUCAGGGAACCAUCACCUCCGUCCAAUGUGCGUGAAUCAGUAUGAGUUUCAAUAAAAUGCAGAAAAUAACAAGACUCUUCGAAAUAACCGUUGGACUCCAGGCAGUCAAUGCUGGUCCAGAUGGUCAUCGCGGAUGUUUGAGCAAUAGAGUCACUAAAACUUAACAGAGAGCAGCAAGCGCAAGAAAAUGUAUUGAACCUUGCAAUCUUCGAUACAAAAUCAAAAGGUGAUAAAGCGAUACGCAACCGUCGAUAUCGUGGAAGCAAAAGUAGCAAAUAUAGGGCAUUUAAGGUAACCAAGAAAAUCAAUAAAUUUCGGGAAAUAAGACUCAUGCCAAAUAGAAGGCAGUAAAAUGCAGCUGUAAUCGAAACUAAAAUACUCACAUUUACAUGGUUGAAUAAUUACUCGCAGAAGUGCAGCUCCUAGGACAUCUGGGUAACCG